GACGAACGCUGGCGGCGUGCUUAACACAUGCAAGUCGAACGGAAAGGCCCUGCUUUUGUGGGGUGCUGGAGUGGCGAACGGGUGAGUAACACGUGAGUAACCUGCCCUUGACUUUGGGAUAACUUCAGGAAACUGGGGCUAAUACCGGAUAGGAGCUCCUGCUGCAUGGUGGGGGUUGGAACGUUUCGGCGGUUGGGGAUGGAUUAGCGGCUUAUCAGCUAGUUGGUGGGGUAGUGGUUUACCAAGGCUGUGACGGGUAGCCGGCCUGAGAGGGUGAACGGCCACAUUGCGACUGAGAUACGGAGCAGACGCCAACGGGAGGCAGAAGGGGGGAAUAUUGCACAAUGGGCGGAAGCCUGAUGCAGCAACGCCGCGGGCGGGAAGACGGCCUUCGGGGUGUAAACCGCUUUCGCCUGUGACGAAGCGUGAGUGACGGUAAUGGGUAAAGAAGCACCGGCUAACUACGUG
rnacentral:rRNA from 1 species